UCUAUUUCUGCAAUAAUAAUGAUGUUUGCAUUUUACGCAGUCACUUACCACAAUUAACAUCCAAUUGAUGUGUUUCUCCUUUUGGCCAUUGCUUCAAAACUACCAGUUUCUGUAACUUCAACUUGAUUAACUUCUUGAGAAAUACACGGAGCAACAUGCAAUAAUUUUGUCUCAUUCGCACCUCAUAUUCACCCUUUGCAGGUAUAUUAACUGAAGCUUCAGGCCAAUUAACACCUAAUCGUCUUGCCUACAUUCGUAGACGGUAGAAAUCUUGGCCUAAAAAGUCACAUUAAACAUGUAAAUACGAUUUAUACCAGCCGAAGCACUGAUGGAAGAAAUG
rnacentral:lncRNA from 1 species